rnacentral:rRNA from 1 species
CAGCAGCCGCGGGAAUACGAAGGGUGCAAGCGUUACUCGGAAUUACUGGGCGUAAAGCGUGCGUAGGUGGUGGUUUAAGUCCGUUGUGAAAGCCCUGGGCUCAACCUGGGAAUUGCAGUGGAUACUGGGUCACUAGAGUGUGGUAGAGGAUAGUGGAAUUUCCGGUGUAGCAGUGAAAUGCGUAGAGAUCGGAAGGAACAUCUGUGGCGAAGGCGACUAUCUGGGCCAACACUGACACUGAGGCACGAAAGCGUGGGGAGCAAACAGGAUUAGAUACCCCAGUAGUCCCUGUCUCUAUACA